rnacentral:rRNA from 1 species
GGCGCACGGGUGAGUAAUGCAUAGGUAACGUGCCCCUUAGUCUGGGGAUAGCCACUGGAAACGGUGAAUAAUACCGGAUACUCCUUCUCUAUUAAUUAGAGUUGGGAAAGUUUUUCGCUAAGGGAUCGGCCUAUGUCCUAUCAGGUAGUUGGUGAGGUAAGAGCUCACCAAGCCUAUGACGGGUAGCGGGUCUGAGAGGAUGAUCCGCCACACUGGUACUGAGACACGGACCAG